AUUGAACGCUGGCGGCAGGCCUAACACAUGCAAGUCGAACGGUAACAGGAAGCAGCUUGCUGCUUCGCUGACGAGUGGCGGACGGGUGAGUAAUGUCUGGGAAGCUGCCUGAUGGAGGGGGAUAACUACUGGAAACGGUAGCUAAUACCGCAUAAUGUCGCAAGACCAAAGAGGGGGACCUUCGGGCCUCUUGCCAUCGGAUGUGCCCAGAUGGGAUUAGCUUGUUGGUGGGGUAACGGCUCACCAAGGCGACGAUCCCUAGCUGGUCUGAGAGGAUGACCAGCCACACUGGGACUGAGACACGGUCCAGACUCCUACGGGAGGCAGCAGUGGGGAAUAUUGCACAAUGGGCGCAAGCCUGAUGCAGCCAUGCCGCGUGUAUGAAGAAGGCCUUCGGGUUGUAAAGUACUUCAGCGGGGAGGAAGGGAGUAAAGUUAAUACCUUGGCUCAUUGACGUUACCCGCAGAAGAAGCACCGGCUAACUCCGUG
rnacentral:rRNA from 1 species